CCCAGACUCCUACGGGAGGCAGCAGUGGGGGAUAUUGCACAAUGGGGGGAACCCUGAUGCAGCGACGCCGCGUGGGUGAAGGAGCGUUUCGGCGCGUAAAGCCCUAUCGGCAGGGAAGAAGGAGGACGGUACCUGACUAAGAAGCCCCGGCUAACUACGUGCCAGCAGCCGCGGUAAUACGUAGGGGGCAAGCGUUAUCCGGAUUUACUGGGUGUAAAGGGGGCGCAGACGGCAGCGCAAGCCAGGAGUGAAAGCCCGGGGCCCAACCCCGGGACUGCUCUUGGAACUGCGCGGCUGGAGUGCAGGAGGGGCAGGCGGAAUUCCUGGUGUAGCGGUGAAAUGCGUAGAUAUCAGGAGGAACACCGGUGGCGAAGGCGGCCUGCUGGACUGCGACUGACGUUGAGGCCCGAAAGCGUGGGGAGCAAACAGGAUUAGAUACCCUCGUAGG
rnacentral:rRNA from 1 species